rnacentral:rRNA from 1 species
AUGAACGCUGGCGGCGUGCUUAAUACAUGCAAGUCGAACGAAGCUCCUUAUCUUCGGACGAGGAGUCUUAGUGGCGAACGGGUGCGUAACGCGUUGGUAACCUGCCCCAAAGAGGGGGAUAACAGUUCGAAAGGACUGCUAAUACUCCAUACGGUCAUCAGGGUUAGAUACUUGAUGAUUAAAGGAGUAAUCCGCUUUGGGAGGGGCCUGCGUCCCAUCAGCUAGUUGGUAGGGUAACGGCCUACCAAGGCUAUGACGGGUAGGGGACCUGAGAGGGUGGCCCCCCACAAUGGAACUGAAACACGGUCCAUACACCUACGGGUGGCAGCAGUAGGGAAUAUUAGAAAUGGACGAAAGUCUGAUCUAGCAACACCGCGUGUGCGAAGAAGGCCUUCGGGUCGUAAAGCACUUUUUGGAAGGAAUAGGAAGGAAUGUACUUCCAGAAUAAGUCUCGGCUAACUACGU